AUGGCCGCAGUAUUUUGACUGUGCAAAGGUAGCAUAAUUAUUAGUUUUUUAAUUGAAAGCUUGUAUGAAGGGUUGGACGAGAUAAAAUCUGUCUUUAUUUAAAUUAAAAUAGAAUUUAACUUUUAAGUCAAAAGGCUUAAAUGUUUAUAAAAGACGAGAAGACCCUAUAGAUCUUUAUUAAAUUUAAGCUUUGAUAAUUUAAGAUUACUUUAAUUUAAAGCUUUAAUUUAAUUUUAUUGGGGUAAUAUAAAGAUUAAAUAAAUUCUUUUUAUUAAUUACAUUAAUUUAUGUAUAUAUGAUCCAUUAUUAUUGAUUAUAAGAUUAAGUUACCUUAGGGAUAACAGCGUAAUUUUUUUGGAGAGCCCAUAUCGAUAAAAAAGUUUGCGACCUCGAUGUUGGAUUAAAAAUUAGCUUGGGUGUAGAAGCUCAAGAUUUUGGUCUGUUCGACCAUUAAAUUUUUACAUGAUCUGAGUUCAGACCGGCGUAAGCCAGGUCGGUUUCUAUCUUUAUUUAAAUAAAAUAUUUUAGUACGAAAGGACCAAGUAUUUAAUAUAAUUAUAUUUAUUUUUUGAAUAAUAUU
rnacentral:rRNA from 1 species